CCUACGGGAGGCUGCAGUGGGGAAUAUUGCACAAUGGGCGCAAGCCUGAUGCAGCCAUGCCGCGUGUGUGAAGAAGGCCUUCGGGUUGUAAAGCACUUUCAGCGGGGAGGAAGGCGGUGAGGUUAAUAACCUCAUCGAUUGACGUUACCCGCAGAAGAAGCACCGGCUAACUCCGUGCCAGCGGCCGCGGUAAUACGGAGGGUGCAAGCGUUAAUCGGAAUUACUGGGCGUAAAGCGCACGCAGGCGGUCUGUCAAGUCGGAUGUGAAAUCCCCGGGCUCAACCUGGGAACUGCAUUCGAAACUGGCAGGCUAGAGUCUUGUAGAGGGGGGUAGAAUUCCAGGUGUAGCGGUGAAAUGCGUAGAGAUCUGGAGGAAUACCGGUGGCGAAGGCGGCCCCCUGGACAAAGACUGACGCUCAGGUGCGAAAGCGUGGGGAGCAAACAGGAUUAGAUACCCUUGUAGUC
rnacentral:rRNA from 1 species